rnacentral:ncRNA from 3 species
UAAGUGCUUCCAUGUUUUGGUAG